rnacentral:rRNA from 1 species
GACGAACGCUGGCGGCGUGCCUAAUACAUGCAAGUUGAGCGCUGAAGGUUGGUACUUGUACCAACUGGAUGAGCAGCGAACGGGUGAGUAACGCGUGGGGAAUCUGCCUUUGAGCGGGGGACAACAUUUGGAAACGAAUGCUAAUACCGCAUAAAAACUUUAAACACAAGUUUUAAGUUUGAAAGAUGCAAUUGCAUCACUCAAAGAUGAUCCCGCGUUGUAUUAGCUAGUUGGUGAGGUAAAGGCUCACCAAGGCGAUGAUACAUAGCCGACCUGAGAGGGUGAUCGGCCACAUUGGGACUGAGACACGGCCCAAACUCCUACGGGAGGCAGCAGUAGGGAAUCUUCGGCAAUGGACGAAAGUCUGACCGAGCAACGCCGCGUGAGUGAAGAAGGUUUUCGGAUCGUAAAACUCUGUUGGUAGAGAAGAAACGUUGGUGAGAAGUGGAAAGCUCAUUCAAAGGGACGGAA